GGAAAGAGCCCUACUAUUCUUCACAAGGUAUGCGACCUUCCUUUUAUGUUCUUUAGUGAUCCAGAGUUAAUGCCAGUCUUGGCGGGUACCAUGGUUGCUGCCUGCUUUGGAUGUGAACAGAACAAAGAUGUCAUUCAGCAAGAACUAAGCACCGAUAUGCUCCUUGCUUUGCUGAAAGCUUGUAGAAGUAGUCUUCCCUCUGCUAAUUCUUUUACCACACCUAAUUAUCCAUCACUAGAUGAGACUGGUGCAUCUGCU
rnacentral:misc_RNA from 1 species